AGGGAAUCUUCCACAAUGGACGAAAGUCUGAUGGAGCAACGCCGCGUGAGCGAAGAAGGUUUUCGGAUCUUAAAGCUCUGUUGCUGGAGAAGAACGAGUGCGAGGGGAAAUGCUCGUACUGUGACGGUAUCCAGCCAGAAAGCCACGGCUAACUACGUGCCAGCAGCCGCGGUAAUACGUAGGUGGCAAGCGUUGUCCGGAAUUAUUGGGCGUAAAGCGCGCGCAGGCGGCUUCUUAAGUCUGAUGUGAAAUCUUGCGGCUCAACCGCAAACGGUCAUCGGAAACUGGGAAGCUUGAGUGCAGAAGAGGAGAGUAGAAUUCCACGUGUAGCGGUGAAAUGCGUAGAGAUGUGGAGGAAUACCAGUGGCGAGGGCGGCUCUCUGGUCUGUAACUGACGCUGAGGCGCGAAAGCGUGGGGAGCAAAC
rnacentral:rRNA from 1 species